AUGAUUUUCAGUGCAAGUGCUGGAAAUUAAAAUGAGAACAUUUUGUGAGUAAUUGGAGUUAUUAUUUGUCACAUUUAGCUGAUGUUAUGUUUUGCAACUGGCAAGGUUGACAUAUUUCUUUUAUUCAGA